rnacentral:rRNA from 1 species
AGUGAACGCUGGCGGUAGGCCUAACACAUGCAAGUCGAACGGCAGCACAGUAAGAGCUUGCUCUUACGGGUGGCGAGUGGCGGACGGGUGAGGAAUACAUCGGAAUCUACUUUUUCGUGGGGGAUAACGUAGGGAAACUUACGCUAAUACCGCAUACGACCUACGGGUGAAAGCAGGGGAUCUUCGGACCUUGCGCGAUUGAAUGAGCCGAUGUCGGAUUAGCUAGUUGGCGGGGUAAAGGCCCACCAAGGCGAGGAUCCGUAGCUGGUGUGAGAGGAUGAUCAGCCACAUGGGAACGGAGACACGGACCAGACUCCUACGGGAGGCAGCAGUGGGGAAUAUUGGACAAUGGGCGCAAGCCUGAUCCAGCCAUACCGCGUGGGUGAAGAAGGCCUUCGGGUUGUAAAGACCUUUUGUUGGGAAAGAAAAGCAGCAGGUUAAUACCCCGCUGUUCUGACGGUACCCAAAGAAUAAGCACCGGCUAACUUCGUG